rnacentral:SRP_RNA from 1 species
UGUUGCUCCUCAUGUGACGCAAUCUUGGUUAACCCCCCCAGGGCGGAAACGCAGCAAGGGUACCUGAGCUCUUGCGGGUGCGUGAGGAGCUUUUGCU